ensembl:snRNA U6 U6 spliceosomal RNA
GUGCUCACUUAGCACAUAUACUAAAAUUGGAACAAUACAGAGAAGAACAGCAUGGACCCUGCACAAGUUUGACACACAAAUUCGUGAAGUGUUCCAUAUUUAA